CUUGGGGCCUGUCCACACCAGCCCCCCAGGAAGCACCGGCGGGGGCUCUCUAGGCAGGAGGAACAGGUCAGGCCCCUUCUCAGCCCCCUGCCCUCGCUGAUGCUCGGAACCGCACAGGGAGAGCCAGGACUAGGGGCUGCUGUCGGAAUCAUCCUGAUUAGAAAAGACUCAAGGUGCGAGGGAAGCCACACUGCCGAGUAACAGCACCACGUUGCAGGAGACUCUUCCCCAUCACACACGCCACUGACACAAGCGAAACACGAGAAAAGAAAAACCUAAGACACAACCCCGACAUCAAACGUCAUCCAAUGACACCACGCCCCGGGUGUCAGGCUCACCGAUGUGGCACCCACUCAGAGCCCAGCAGAGAACUUGUUACUCAGCCAUCCCGCCCCCGGGGAGCACGAGGCAGGCCUCCGGAACCUCAUUUCAGAAGUGUACCUGCUGACAUGGAAAGUGUUCCACACGUCGGUGAGAACAGCGGCUACAAGACCACGCGCCCUCUGUGGGCCCAAAGGGACUGGAGGCAGGACCGGAGCUGACAGUCCUAACAGCGCUCACAGCUGCACCGGGCACGGAGCCCAAAGGUGGGAACACCCCAAACAUCCACGGACGGAUGAAUGGAGAAGCAGAACGGGGUGUAUCCACGCAAUGGAAGGUCCUCAAGCAUGAGGAGGAGCGAAGGGCAGACGCCUGCUCCACCAGAGAUGAACCCUGAGGGAGGACCUCAGGCUACGGGAGAUAGCCAGACACCAAAAGAUAAGUGUUGUAUGGCUCCAUUUAUGUGGGGUUCCCAGAACAGACAAAUUCUCAGAGGCAGGAAGAAGAUUAGAGGUGACCCAGGCUGGUGGAGGGUGCAAAGGGGAGUGCUUGCUUAACGGGGACAGAGUGGUGGGAAAGUUCUGGAAAUGGAAGUGGUGAUGGUUGCACGAUGGUCAUUAAUGCCACUGAAGCUGCACACUUAAAAAUGACCAAGAUGGCAAAUUUUAUGUUAUGUACACUUUACCACAAUUUUUAAAAGUUUAAAAUGUAACACACAAAAACUUUUGAAUUGUAUACUUUAAACAGAAUGUAUGGUAUGUGAAUUAUAUCUCAAUAAAGCUGUCUAAAGAAAAAGAAAAUAUAUAUACC
rnacentral:lncRNA from 1 species